rnacentral:lncRNA from 1 species
CCCUUGAAAGGUCCUUCCAAAACUCUAUGAGUGCCAACUGUAUAGGACCAGUGAGGAGUCGUCCAGCUGAUGCCGGUGCAGGGGCCCCGUUUCUCUGCCACCAACAGGCAACCGGGGAUGGAUGACCAGCGCAUUAUUUAUUUAAUUUUUUGUUCGGCGUGAGAGUAAGAAAACGGAGACAGACUUUCUUUGCAGUUUUGUUUCAUGCUGGGUAAUCGCAGAAAGAAAUAUUCACCCGCAUGCAUUAAUAUGCAAGGACUAAGUCCCCAGUUGGCUUAGAGUUAAUCUUAUAUUUCAACUCAUUCCUCAGCAUCUGUGCUAGGGAGGAGGGCAUCUUAUACUUUAGGUAAAUGCCCCCUCAGAAAGAU